rnacentral:tRNA from 1 species
UAAGUGAGGGCCGGGUUUGAGGCGAUUGAUUGUUACUCAAUAGGAUAUGUUUUUCAUUCAUUUAG